rnacentral:rRNA from 1 species
GUAGGGUCCGAGCGUUAUCCGGAAUCAUUGGGGCGUAAAGAGCUCGUAGGCGGUUCAGCAAGUCGGCUGUGAAAGUUCGAGGCUCAACCUCGAAAUUGCAGUCGAUACUGCUGUGACUCGAGUCCCGGUAGAGGAGAAUGGAAUUCCCGGUGUAGCGGUGAAAUGCGCAGAUAUCGGGAGGAACACCAGUAGCGAAGGCGGUUCUCUGGGCCGGCACUGACGCUGAGGAGCGAGAGCGUGGGGAGCAAACAGGAUUAGAUACCCUGGUAGUCCACGCCGUAAACGUUGGAUGCUAGGUGUGGCGGUCUACCAACGACUGCCGUGCCGAAGCUAACGCAUUAAGCAUCCCGCCUGGGGAGUACGGCCGCAAGGCUA